UGUCCCCUACGGGGCGCAGCAGUGAGGAAUAUUGGUCAAUGGUCGGGAGACUGAACCAGCCAAGCCGCGUGAGGGAUGAAGGUACAGAGUAUCGUAAACCUCUUUUGUCAGGGAACAAAGGCGGGGACGUGUCCCCGGAUGAGUGUACCUGAAGAAAAAGCAUCGGCUAACUCCGUGCCAGCAGCCGCGGUAAUACGGAGGAUGCGAGCGUUAUCCGGAUUUAUUGGGUGUAAAGGGAGCGCAGGCGGGAAGCCAAGUCCGCUGUGAAAACUACGGGCUUAA
rnacentral:rRNA from 1 species